rnacentral:lncRNA from 1 species
CCAGUGUGUUGGGAUGUUCCAUGAAUGUGUCCAGGCUGAGCAACUGUGCACAGACAGGGAUCGCUCCUGCUUUUCAUCGACCAUCAAACUUUAUUAUUCUAACAGCUACGCUGGAGUAUUCAUGCUACCAGACCUGGAAAUUGCCGAAUAUGUGAUGAAAGGAUGCUCAGGGGAGAGGGUCUCCAACCGCACGGCCAACGUGUACUCAGAAGAUGACCGGGAGGUCCACAACACCUACUAUUGUGACACGGACCUCUGCAACAUCCGUUUCACGGGCGCUCCUGCCAGUAGUCCCCAAGUGCCGAAUGGCAUGGAAUGUUACAGCUGCUUCGAUCGUGGCACUGGGGAAUGUGCCCGGGGGAAUGCCACUCGGAUCAAGUGUCUGGGGGACAUGAACCAGUGCAUGGAUUUUACUGUGAUUGAUGGCGCCUGGAAAAUGACUUACCGGACGUGUGCCCUGGAGACACUUUGCCGCCGACAGUAUGUGCUCCCCGACCUUUCAGGGAGACUUGAGAUCAGCUGCUGUUCUACUCCACUAUGUAAUGAUGGACGUCCUGGAGUCAAGAGCAUCUGCAGUCACUUUACAGAGCAAGGAACUAAGCGAAAGUCGGAGAAUGGUCUGGAAUGUGCCAACUGCUGUGACACUGGGCUGGGUGAAUGUGCCCCAGGAAACUGGACUCACAUCAAGUGUGUUGGGGAUCAGAAUAUGUGUG